rnacentral:lncRNA from 1 species
GCGCGGGACUGGGCUGGACCAGACAGAACCGCUAAGUCAUCGCUGGGCGCGGAGGAGGAGGAGCGAGGGGUCACUGAAGGGCGGCGACCGGCCGAAGGCAGCUGUCCAGGGCCUAAGACAAGACUUGCCUCGUUAAAAAUUCAGGUUGUGUAGUCUUAAAAGUGACAUCCAGAAGCCUCAUAAACCCACCUACGUAGGAACACAGCAGUUGUAGAGGUGGAGAGAGGAGCAACCAGAAUUAGAGUUCAAAUAUACCUGACCAACAGCUGUGACACACUGGGGACUUUAACAUUCACUGGGGACUGUAAACUUUGACACAGAUCACUUAAUUCUCUGAA